rnacentral:tRNA from 1 species
GAGGGUAUAGCUCAAGUGGUAGAGUACAUGCUUAGCAUGCAUGAGGUCCUGGGUUCAAUCCCCAGUACCUCCU